AUGCAUCUCAGUAUCACAAGUCCGUUGUUAAAGUUAUUCAACCACUCUCCUCCAUCAGAUUUUGUACCACAAAGUCCAACCACUCUCCUCCAUCAGAUUUUGUACCACAAAGUCCAACCACUCUCCACUUUUAGAUUCUAUUUUAGUUCCCCCCAAACAAAUUCAAACUCCUCCGAAAUAAAAAAACUACGUGUCUUUCCCCCUCACAAACUAGUGAGUUUGAUUUGGAUUCGGACUCAAAAUUAG